GAUUAACGCUAGCGGCAGGCCUAAUACAUGCAAGUCGAACGGCAGCACGGGUAGCAAUACCUGGUGGCGAGUGGCGCACGGGUGCGUAACGUGUAUGCAACCUACCUAUAACCGGGGAAUAGCCUUCUGAAAGGAAGAUUAAUACCGCAUAAUAUCACUGGACGGCAUCGCCCGGUGAUCAAAACUCCGGUGGUUAUAGAUGGGCAUGCGUGACAUUAGCUAGUUGGUGAGGUAACGGCUCACCAAGGCUACGAUGUCUAGGGGGUCUGAGAGGAUGAUCCCCCACAAGGGUACUGAGGACCGGACCAGACUCCUACGGGAGGCAGCAGUAAGGAAUAUUGGACCAUGGGCGCAAGCCUGAUCCGGCCAGGCCGCGUGAAGGAUGACGGCCCUCUGGGUUGUAAACUUCUUUUAUACGGGAAUAAACCCCUCGAUUCUUCGGGGGCUGAAUGUACUGUAAGAAUAAGGAUCGGCUAACUUCGUGCCAGCCGCCGCAGUAA
rnacentral:rRNA from 1 species